UACCCGCAGCACAAGUGGUGGUCAUUAUUAUUGGGCCUAAAGCGUCCGUAGCUGGCCUGUUAGGUGCCUGGGUAAAUCGAUGCGCUCAACGCAUCGAACUCCGGGUAGACCGGCAGGCUUGGGACCGGGAGAGGCGUGAGCUACUCGAGGGGUAGGGGUAAAAUCCUGUAAUCCUUCGGGGAGGACCAGUGGCGAAGGCGUCACGCUAGAACGGCUCCGACAGUGAGGGACGAAGCCCUGGGGCGCAAACCGG
rnacentral:rRNA from 1 species